rnacentral:rRNA from 1 species
GUGCAAAGGUAGCGCAAUCACUUGUCUUUUAAAUGAAGACCUGUAUGAAUGGUAUUACGAGGGCUUAACUGUCUCCUUUUUCAGGUCAGUGAAAUUGAUCUCCCCGUGCAGAAGCGGGGAUAAAACCAUAAGACGAGAAGACCCUAUGGAGCUUUAAGACACUAAGCCAUAUCAAGUUAAAUACCCCCUAACAAGGGGCCAAACUUAUUGAAAUCAUUGGCCGUAUGUCUUCGGUUGGGGCGACCAUGGGGAAACAAAAAACCCCCACGUGGAAUGGGAGCACAUUUACUCCUACAGUCAAGAGCCGCCACUCUAACAAACAGAAUUUCUGACCAAUAACUGAUCCGGCAACGCCGAUCAACGGACCAAGUUACCCUAGGGAUAACAGCGCAAUCCCCUUUUAGAGCCCCUAUCGACAAGGGGGUUUACGACCUCGAUGUUGGAUCAGGACAUCCUAAUGGUGCAGCCGCUAUUAAGGGUU